CCGACCCUACGGGGCGCAGCAGUGAGGAAUAUUGGUCAAUGGGCGGAAGCCUGAACCAGCCAAGUCGCGUGAGGGAAUAAGGCCCUACGGGUCGUAAACCUCUUCUGCCGGGGAGCAAGGGCCGGGACGAGUCCCGGUCCGGAGAGUACCCGGAGAAAAAGCAUCGGCUAACUCCGUGCCAGCAGCCGCGGUAAUACGGAGGAUGCGAGCGUUAUCCGGAUUUAUUGGGUUUAUAGGGAGCGUAGGCGGGCUUUUAAGUCAGCGGUAAAAAUUCGGGGCUCAACCCCGUCCGGCCGUUGAAACUG
rnacentral:rRNA from 1 species